rnacentral:lncRNA from 1 species
GAUUGGACAUGGCAACUCUAGAGGAAGCCAUCAGAUCAGGAUUUCAGAUUUUGGGACUUGCUGCUGAACCCUGGACAACUCACACUUUUAAAAAGAGGCAGAAAGGAUUCUGAAACCAUCCAGAGUUUUCAACAAAGUUUUUUUAUGGAAAUGUCAAGAUAAAAUUAUCUAUUCAGGAUUAACAGGGUAGGUGUGAGUUCUUUCAUACAAAGACAUAUCGUCAGUCUGAGGUAUUAGUAGCAUUACUUUAUAAGUGUACUUUAUAGUCCUCCUAAAUCAAGCAUUAUUCCAUUUGAAUCCAGGGAUCAUAGCAGUUGCUGUAGCAAAGAUUGCCAGACUAAAAAUUAUGGGAAUUUCUAGGGCUGUGAAGGAGGAAGUGUAGCCUUGUGUGACUCCUAGGAGUCUGGGGUGGGAGAAAUCUGGCCUCAAGCUGCUGGGAUGCAGCAAACAACAGUGGGGCCUUCAGCAGAAGGGUUAGAGACCUUCUGCACUGAGCAGAGCAGGAAGAAUGAAUCAUUAAAAAGAACUUUUAAAUCAUGAAGAUAAAACAGAGAUUCCCAGAACGGAUGUGAUUCCCAAAGAAUAUGAUCUACCUAAUGGAGAAAAGAUAUACUUCAGAACAAGUUUUUAUACAUGUACACAAGCAUAUGCUGAACUGAUUAAGCACUGUUCAGUAAGUUUAUUCUUGUUCUCUUUUGUUAUAUGCAUAAAUGGAAAAAAUAUGGCAUCUGAUAAUAAAUCAACAGACAACUGGAAGUGGCCAGACAUCAAAGGUUUUGAAGGCUAAUGAAGUAUUUCCCUGUCCUGGAGAGGGUCUGAUCCUUCCCCUGAAGUGAAUUCCAGAUCCAGUUAUGGAAGCACAACAACUUUUUUGGCUGCAGUGGACCUAAGAGAUAACAACCACAGAUCCAGUCCUGAUGGAAGACAUAAGGCAAAAGUUUGGAGUCUGUUCUGCUCUCAUUCACCCUAAAUAUAUAAUUAUCACCAUUCAGAGCUCCUUGUGGAUUUGGAAUGACACAAGUAAAGUAUCACAACUGCCAGAACAAGUUGGACCUUCAGAGAAGACAACUUAUUGGCCCCAAUGGGUUGUGGUUACUGAGACACUUUGAGGAAAAAAAUACAAAGGAAUAGAUACUUGUGCUGUAAUUGCUAGAGGAGGACAGCUGAGUAAAAUCUUAAUGAAGCUUCAGGGCAUGACUCUUAGGUCAAGACUUGAGUAAGACUCAAGUGGGUCUGCCUUCUAGAGGGAAGAUAAAAAAGAAUAGCUUGUGAAAGAGAAAUCUUAGUGGCCUGCAAGAGCCAUACAAUACUGUAGACCUAUAGAGACAUGCCAUAAACUCACCAGUCCUCCUGGCUCAGGAAUAUCCCAACAGUAUUUUUUCUCUCAAAAGCCAGUAUUGACACACUGCAGCUGG